AUGAUAAGGGCGUUAAGUCCGUAGUAGUAGACCCGAAGCGAAGUGACCUAUCCAUGGUCAGGGUGAAGCGCGCGUAACAGUGCGUGGAGGCCCGAACCGGUGUUUGUUGCAAAAGACUCGGAUGAGUUGUGGAUAGAGGUGAAAUGCCAAUCGAACUUCGUGAUAGCUGGUUCUCCCCGAAAUAGCUCUAGGGCUAGCGUUGGGUGUUAAGUUCCGGGGGUAGAGCACUGACAGAGCUAGGGGCCCUGACAGGUUACUGAACUCCAUCAAACUCCGAAUACCGGAAUGUAUUACCCAGCAGUCAGUCUACGGGGGAUAAGCUUCGUGGACAAAAGGGAAACAACCCAGACCAACAGCUAAGGUCCCUAAAUUUCAGCUAAGUGGUAAAGGAAGUAGGAUUUCGUAGACAGCCAGGAGGUUGGCUUAGAAGCAGCCAUCCUUAAAAGAGUGCGUAAUAGCUCACUGGUCGAUGUUAUCUUGCGCCGAAAAUGUACCGGGGCUCAAGCUGAGUACCGAAGCUUUGGAUUAUAGCAAUAUAGUGGUAGGGGAGCGUUCUGUACGCCUGUGAAGCCGUAUCGUGAGAAGCGGUGGAGGUAUCAGAAGUGCGAAUGCCGGCAUGAGUAGCGUAAAGAGAAGUGAGAAUCUUCUCCGCCGAAAGCCUAAGGUUUCCUGGGCAAGUGUUUUCCACCCAGGGUAAGGCGGGACCUAAGUCGAGGUCGAAAGACGUAGAUGAUGGACAGCCGGUUAAUAUUCCGGCCCCGCGUUUGUUCGUUAUGAGCAAGGAGUGACGCAGUAAGGUAGGUCUAGCCGGCGGUGGUCGUCCGGCGCCAAGCGUGUAGGGUGUCGCGUAGGCAAAUCCGCGUGACAUUAAGCCCGAGACGUGAUGGGGAGUCGCAAUUGCGGCGAAUUGACUGACCCUACACUGCCUAGAAAAACUUCUAACCAGAGCAAACGUGCCCGUACUGAAACCGACACUGGUGGGCAAGUAGAGAAUACUAAGGCGACGGGUGAAGCCCUCUUAAGGAACUCGGCAAAUUAGCCCCGUAACUUCGGGAAAAGGGGUGCCUUGGUUGGUGUAACGAUUUACUCGUGAAGCUGAUUGAGGUCGCAGUGAAAUGGCCCAAGCGACUGUUUAACACAAACACAGGUCUCUGCCAAGCCGCAAGGCGACGUAUAGGGGCUGACGCCUGCCCGGUGCUGGAACGUUAAGGGGAGGGCUUAGGGGUAACUCGAAGGCCUGAACCGAAGCGCCAGUAAACGGCGGCCGUAACUAUAACGGUCCUAAGGUAGCGAAAUUCCUUGUCGGGUAAGUUCCGACCCGCACGAAAGGCGUAACGACUUGGGCACUGUCUCAAGAGG
rnacentral:rRNA from 1 species